GUACACUCCUGCGGGAGGCAGCAGUGGGGAAUAUUGGACAAUGGGCGCAAGCCUGAUCCAGCCAUGCCGCGUGAGUGAUGAAGGCCCUAGGGUUGUAAAGCUCUUUCACCGGAGAAGAUAAUGACGGUAUCCGGAGAAGAAGCCCCGGCUAACUUCGUGCCAGCAGCCGCGGUAAUACGAAGGGGGCUAGCGUUGUUCGGAAUUACUGGGCGUAAAGCGCACGUAGGCGGAUCGAUCAGUCAGGGGUGAAAUCCCAGGGCUCAACCCUGGAACUGCCUUUGAUACUGUCGAUGUGGAGUAUGGAAGAGGUGAGUGGAAUUCCGAGUGUAGAGGUGAAAUUCGUAGAUAUUCGGAGGAACACCAGUGGCGAAGGCGGCUCACUGGUCCAUUACUGACGCUGAGGUGCGAAAGCGUGGGGAGCAAACAGGAUUAGAAACCCGGGUAGUCCCAUGAU
rnacentral:rRNA from 1 species